rnacentral:rRNA from 1 species
GAUCAUGGCUCAGGAUGAACGCUAGCUACAGGCUUAACACAUGCAAGUCGAGGGGAAACGACAUCGAAAGCUUGCUUUUGAUGGGCGUCGACCGGCGCCCACGGGUGAGUAACGCGUAUCCAACCUGCCCACCACUUGGGGAUAACCUUGCGAAAGUAAGACUAAUACCCAAUGAUAUCUCUAGAAGACAUCUGAAAGAGAUUAAAGAUUUAUCGGUGAUGGAUGGGGAUGCGU